UGCUUUUUAGUGAAUGGCCGCGGUAUUCUGACCGUGCAAAGGUAGCAUAAUCAUUUGUCCUUUUAUUGAGGACUGGUAUGAAAGAAAGGUUGAGACUUUGGUUGUCUCUUUUGUUGUUUUGGAAUUUGCUGUUUUUGUGAAGAAGCAAAGGUGGUAAAAAAGGACAAGAAGACCCUAUUAAGCUUUAUUUUUGGUUUUGUGCUGUUUUUAUUUGUUAAAAAAUAUUGAAGUGUGAAUGUAAAAUUUGGUUGGGGUGACUAAAGAAGCAAUAGAUCUUCUUUAUUAAUUUAAACUUUUAGUUUAAUGAAGACCCAGAUUUUUUGGUUGUAAGAAUUAGUUACUAUAGGGAUAACAGCGUAAUCUUCCCAGAAAGUUCUUAUUGAAGGGGGGGUUUGCGACCUCGAUG
rnacentral:rRNA from 1 species